UAUCAUUAACUGAAUCCAUAGGUUAAUGAGGCGAACCGGGGGAACUGAAACAUCUAAGUACCCCGAGGAAAAGAAAUCAACCGAGAUUCCCCCAGUAGCGGCGAGCGAACGGGGAGGAGCCCAGAGCCUGAAUCAGCAUGUGUGUUAGUGGAAGCGUCUGGAAAGGCGCGCGAUACAGGGUGACAGCCCCGUACACAAAAGCGCAUGUGCUGUGAGCUCGAUGAGUAGGGCGGGACACGUGGUAUCCUGUCUGAAUAUGGGGGGACCAUCCUCCAAGGCUAAAUACUCCUGACUGACCGAUAGUGAACCAGUACCGUGAGGGAAAGGCGAAAAGAACCCCGGCGAGGGGAGUGAAAAAGAACCUGAAACCGUGUACGUACAAGCAGUGGGAGCACAGGUUUACCUG
rnacentral:rRNA from 1 species